rnacentral:rRNA from 1 species
UGCAGUCGAACGGGAAUCUUCGGAUUCUAGUGGCGGACGGGUGAGUAACGCGUAAGAAUCUAACUUUAGGACGGGGACAACAGUUGGAAACGACUGCUAAUACCCGAUAUGCCGCAAGGUGAAACCUAAUUGGCCUGGAGAAGAGCUUGCGUCUGAUUAGCUAGUUGGUGGGGUAAGAGCCUACCAAGGCGACGAUCAGUAGCUGGUCUGAGAGGAUGAGCAGCCACACUGGGACUGAGACACGGCCCAGACUCCUACGGGAGGCAGCAGUGGGGAAUUUUCCGCAAUGGGCGAAAGCCUGACGGAGCAACGCCGCGUGAGGGAGGAAGGUCUUUGGAUUGUAAACCUCUUUUCUCAAGGAAGAAGUUCUGACGGUACUUGAGGAAUCAGCCUCGGCUAACUCCGUGCCAGCAGCCGCGGUAAUACGGGGGAGGCAAGCGUUAUCCGGAAUUAUUGGGCGUAAAGCGUCCGCAGGUGGUCAGCCAAGUCUGCCGUCAAAUCAGGUUGCUUAACGACCUAAAGGCGGUGGAAACUGGCAGACUAGAGAGCAGUAGGGGUAGCAGGAAUUCCCAGUGUAGCGGUGAAAUGCGUAGAGAUUGGGAAGAACAUCGGUGGCGAAAGCGUGCUACUGGGCUGUAUCUGACACUCAGGGACGAAAGCUAGGGGAGCGAAAGGGAUUAGAUACCCCUGUAGUCCUAGCCGUAAACGAUGGAUACUAGGCGUGGCUUGUAUCGACCCGAGCCGUGCCGAAGCUAACGCGUUAAGUAUCCCGCCUGGGGGAGUACGCACGCAAGUGUGAAACUCAAAGGAAUUGACGGGGGGCCCGCACAAGCGGUGGGAGUAUGUGGGUUUAAUUCGAUGCAACGCGAAAGAACCUUACCAAAGACUUGACAUGUCGCGAAACCCUGGGUGAAAGCUGGGGGGUGCCUUUGGGGAGCGCGAAACACAGGGUGGUGCAUGGGCUGUCCUUCAGCCUCGUGUUCGUGAAGAUG